CACAAUAGCCUACCAAGUGAGCCACAUUAACAUGGUGGAUUCUCCCCAUUGAUCCCACUUCAUUAAUGAACUCUUCACCAUUUCCUUUGGAAUUGUUGAGGAUCUUAACAGCUACAAAGACAUCAUUGGAAAGUUUUCCUUUGAACACAGUGCCAUAACCUCCUUGUCCCAAUUUGUCCUUGAAUUGGUUUGUUAUGCUUUGUAUAUCAGCAUAAGUGUAUCUUGUGGGUUUUAGAGCC